UACGGGGGGAGCAAGCGUUGUUCGGAUUUACUGGGCGUAAAGGGCGCGUAGGCGGCCACCGCAAGUCAGUUGUGAAAUCUCUGGGCUUAACCCAGAACGGUCAGCUGAUACUGCGGGGCUAGAGUGCAGAAGGGGCAACUGGAAUUCUCGGUGUAGCGGUGAAAUGCGUAGAUAUCGACAGGAACACCUGCGGCGAAGGCGGGUUGCUGGGCUGACACUGACGCUGACAGCGCGAAAGCUAGGGGAGCGAACGGG
rnacentral:rRNA from 1 species